ACGAAUUGUCAAGAGGGUGUCAAGUGUGUGCGUGUGCGGUGUGAAAGUCAAGAAAGAUAAGUGGGGCCACGCUCAAAAGUAUGCUGUCUCUUCCCUGUAAUUCUCCCCAACUUGAAAUUUGAUUUGAAAUCCCCUGUGAUUUUGUCAACUUGAUGUUUUGUUGGCUGUUAUGCGGUAUGUGGUCUUCAGUCCCCUCUACUACCCUUGCCGCCUGCUGAGGGCAGACGACUAGGAAUGUAUCAUGUACAUGUGGGCGGGCAGUUUAUAGGGAACGUAGUGGUUUUAUGCGAAGACUAGCAAAUUUGGCUCAAUUUAGGCCGUAGUGGUGGGGUGUGGCGGCAACUGAUGCUGAUUUGAAAAUCGAUUAUGAAACCGAUAAUCAAUUCUCAGCACCGUUGCCGCCGAAGUUUUAUCACAGAUUGUGAUAAUUUUGUAGUGGGGUGUCGGAGAACCGCACUAAUUACGAUAAUAACAAUGGGGGGGGAAGAAGGGGUUAAAGAAAUGAUAUCGAAAAUUCAGAAAGUGCAGUGUUGCAACACGUAGUCAAUUGAGGAAUAGAUAAAGAGAAAAGCUACAGGGAAGACUAGAAGCAUCGGCCGGCAUAGCAAAACACAAUGCUUGUAAAGACAUUGCGUUGCAUACCGGCCGACCCCGUCGUCCCCCCUGGUCGUCGAGAUUGGCGUCAUCCAGAGUCGUCAGAGGUAGCUGCAAUUAGCACCUCGUCGUCGUUGUGGCUUUGGCUGCCCUCUUGGAGAACCAGUGGCACUGGUCCGGCCACCAGUUGGGAGCCAGGAGUAGACGGCACACAUAGUACUGUGGCGACACGGGUCCGGCCGCCAAAGUGAAGUGGAUGUGAGUGUGUGUGUGCGUCGGCAAUUGUGGCCCUAAUGUAGAGCAAGUGGCACUGUUCCGGCCACCAGCUGUGGGCAAUGGCAGACAACGACACACAUCUACUCGAACGGCACAGGUCCGGCCGCCCAAGUGUAAUGGGUGCUUGUGUGUGUGUGUGUCUGAGUGGCUGGCGGACCAUAGGGCACUCUGAAUGCCAUGGCACUGGAUCCGGCCACCAACUAAGGACGAUGGCGUUGGCAUAACUCGAACGGCACAGGUCCGGCCGCCCAAGUGUAAUGGAUGUGUGUGUGUGUGUGUAUAUUUCCUUUUCCAGGUCCAUAGGGCACUCUGAAUGCCAUGGCACUGGAUCCGGCCACCAACUAAGGACGAUGGCGAUGGCAUUUCUCGAGCGGCGCAGGUCCGGCCGCCCAAGUGCAAUGGAUGUUUGUGUGUGUGUGAGUCUGAAUGGCUGGCGUUAAGUAUUUUGAGAGCCCUUUUUAAUCGUAUUUGUGGCUGAUAAAUUUUUCCCAUUUCCAGGACCAUAGGGCACUCUGAAUGCCAUGGCACUGGAUCUGGCCACCAGCUCAGGGCAAAAGCAGACACCUCACACAAGAUUCGAGCGGCUCGAAGCCAGCCCCCGAUUUGGAUUGGAUGUAGUUGCGUGUGUAUCUGCAUUUGGGUUUGUAAGCAAGCAUCAGCGCUCUGCAUACUGGCGGCUCUGAUCCGGCCGUCAGUUUUUGUUGUUGUGUGAGGCAGAUUUUCAUUGGUGUUUGGUCUAAUGGCUUGUUUUCU
rnacentral:sRNA from 15 species